CUCUGUCAACGGAAUUCUCCAGGCAAAGAUACUGGAGUGGGUUGCCAUUCCCUUCCCAACCCAAGGAUCCAAACUUCUGUAUUGCAGGUGCAGUGGGCUGGAUGGUGCCCCAAAGACAUUAGGGCCUAAUUCUUGGAAACUGUAAGAUGUUUAUUUGGAAAAAGCAUCUUUGUAGAUAUGAUUAAGGAUCUUGAGACAAGGAGAUAAUUCUGUAUUAUUCAGCUGGGCCAUACAUGCUAGCAGUCUCUAUAUAACAGUGUGCCUGCAUGCUAAAUCACUUCAGUCACGUCUGACUCUUUGCGGUCCUAUAGACUGUAGCCUGCCAGGGUCCUCUGUCCAUGGAAUUCUCCAGGUGGGCUCUUUCCCACUAGCACCACCUAGGAAGCCCCCUAUAUAACAGACGAGGAAAAUUCUAGACACACAGAGAAGGCAACGUGAAGAUGGACACAGAGGUUAGAGUGACUGUGGCUUCAAGCCUAAGAAUGCCAGCAGACAACAGAAACUGGAAAAGGCAAGAAACAGAUUCUCCCCGCAAGCCGCUUGAGGGAGCUCAGCCUACUGACACCUCAAUUUCAGACUUUUCGUUUCUAGAACUGUGAGAGGAUGAAUGCAUUUUAAGCUACCAUGCUUGUGGUAAUUUGUCACAGCUGCCACUGGAAACUAACAUACUAGUUAUUCAAUAUUUUUUGUCCAUUC
ensembl:lncRNA